CAUAGCUGCGCCUGUCAUGCAAGCAACAGCUCUCCUCUGGUACUGCCUGAUUCCCCGAGGGAAGGCUCCUUGUUGGCCUUUGUCUUUUAACUGCCAGCCCCUCCCAGAUCCUCAGCUGGAGGCAGUGACAGGGCCACAGGUGUCCCUAAGAGCAAGGCCACCAAGCAUAUCCACCAAGAGGUGAGGAGUUCUCUGAGCAGAGAGGUUGGCACCCUCUGAAGGCUAGCGGAUUCUGGCUCUCUAAAAGCUCCCCUGUGGGGAGCAGAUGCCCACAUAGGCAGAGGUUGGCCCCUCAAGGCCACACUCACGCUUAUGGACUCAUAUAUUUGUUGUCCUGCUGGCAAAACCCCUC
rnacentral:lncRNA from 1 species